GUGGCAUUGCUCGGUUGUAUACAACUAGUCGGAUGGAUUUGUAUGGGAUUUGACAGCUGAGAUUUGGUUGUACACGACCGUCCGACCAAAAUCAAAAAUUUUUGAUUUUGGUCGGACGGUCGUGUAAACCGAGUGAACUCGCUGGUAUAAACUCAAAAAAAACCUUUGUUUUUCUUCAAAUGACGGAUUGCGGGAUUAUUUGUAAACAAGUGAUUUUGCUACAAACAGCUACAUCGCCAUGGCAAAAACUGUAAUUGACGAAGAAUUUUUGAUCUCUUUAGUGCAAGAACGGCGCUUUCUUUGGGAUCUGCGCGAUCGCAUGUAUAAGAAUAGAGCGGUGACAAAUAAAGCGUGGAAUGAGAUAGGAGCGGAGCUUAAUGUUGAAGUUUGCUGCGGGAACAAACCGGCAAACGAGUGGGUUGAAUAAGUGAAGAAUGAACAGACCCGAUACUCUCGCGCUAGUUUCUUCGUUGCGUUGUAUAUCACCCCGGAUGAUAAUGAUAAGAUUGGGCUUUUCCUUGAUUAACCAGAAUCGGAUAUUAACGGCGGACCCUUGUUGAUAACGAUCUUUUUCCGGUAAACGUAUUUUUAGGAUUGGGUGAGUAAGAACAACUGUUGCAAUCUGAAACAGCUGUGUAUUUAAACAGUAGUGUAUUGUUCUCGCAAGGUCUAUUGAACGUCUGAUUUCUACCGAUCAUUAAUUCUACCGAGUAGAGAAAUCUUGAUUUGAUUUUUGUUAUAGUUUUUCUUUGUUUUUGGCAUGCAAGAAAAUAGAAGAUUCAUGAACGAUGACUAGUUAUGUUGACAUCGUUUGCAUACUCGCAUAGUUAGGACAACUCAUCUACCAAUUUGAAAUCGUCGUCGACAAAUAAAAUUUUACGUUCCUGUCAAUCUUAUCAAUACGAUCCUAGCAGCAUCGAGGUUCAGACGGAUUUAAAAGUAAAGUGUAAUAACUUUAUAAUGAAAAAGGAAUAAUUUACAUCCAGGGUUUGUACCGUUUUUUUAGUAAUUUUUCGCUAAUUAUUUGAUUUCAAAAAUAUCAUAUAUUUUUUAAUAUAAUGAUGAGUCGAGGCUCAAUGAGUUUUCAUUCGUUAGAUGUUAGCACAAUAAGAGGACCAUUCUCACGGUUGCAUAUAGUACGUCGCUACUCCUUCGAGACACACACUUUCACACAUGUACAGGUAAUAUUUAUUAUUGUUUUGUGGUACUUAUUUAUAGCAAAGACAAUAAGUAUGCGAACCAUUUACUGUCUCAUCAGACGGAUGAUUUAAAUCUAAUUGUAAGUUUUAGGAACUAUUCAUUCCCAAACGUUAUAACUGUAUCGAAAAUUUGGAUUACAUCCAAGUAAAUAAAAAUGAAAGUAUUCUCAUU